rnacentral:rRNA from 1 species
UACAGAGGGUGCAAGCGUUGUUCGGAAUUACUGGGCGUAAAGCGCGUGUAGGCGGCUCGAUAAGUCCGGUGUGAAACCUUGGGGCUCAACCCCAAGCCUGCACUGGAUACUGCCGAGCUAGAGUCCGGGAGGGGAGAGCGGAAUUCCUAGUGUAGCGGUGAAAUGCGCAGAUAUUAGGAAGAACACCGGUGGCGAAGGCGGCUCUCUGGAACGGUACUGACGCUGAGACGCGAAAGCGUGGGGAGCGAACAGG